UACGUAGGGGGCUAGCGUUGUCCGGAUUUAUUGGGCGUAAAGAGCGUGUAGACGGCCAUGUAGGUCCGGUGUGAAAACUCGAGGCUUAACCUCGAGAUGUCAUCGGAAACCAUUUGGCUAGAGUCCGGAAGAGGAGAGUGGAAUUCCUGGUGUAGCGGUGAAAUGCGCAGAUAUCGUAAGGAAGACCAGUGGCGAAGGCGGGUCUCUGGACAGUUCCUGACGCUGAGGCACGAAGGUCAGGGGAGCAAACGGG
rnacentral:rRNA from 1 species